rnacentral:rRNA from 1 species
GGAGGAAAAGAAAAUAACCAUGAUUCCCUCAGUAACGGCGAGUGAAGCGGGAAAAGCUCAAAUUUGAAAUCUGUCAACAUUUCUUUUGUUGUCCGAGUUGUAAUUUCAAGAAGCUGCUUUGAGUGUAGACGAUCGGUCUAAGUUCCUUGGAACAGGACGUCAGAGAGGGUGAGAACCCCGUCUUUGGUCGAUUGGAUAUGCCAUAUAAAGCGCUUUCGAAGAGUCGAGUUGUUUGGGAAUGCAGCUCUAAAUGGGUGGUAAAUUUCAUCUAAAGCUAAAUAUUGGCGAGAGACCGAUAGCGAACAAGUAGAGUGAUCGAAAGAUGAAAAGAACUUUGAAAAGAGAGUUAAAUAGUACGUGAAAUUGCUGAAAGGGAAGCAUUGGAAAUCAGUCUUACCUGGGUGAGAUCAGUAGUCUCUUCGCGAGACUAUGCACUCUGAACCUGUGGUAGGUCAGCAUCAGUUUUCGGGGGCGGAAAAAGAAUAAGGGAAGGUGGCUUUCCGGGUUCUGCCUGGGGGAGUGUUUAUAGCCCUUGUUGUAAUACGUCCACUGGGGACUGAGGACUGCGGCUUCGUGCCAAGGAUGCUGACAUAAUGGUUUUCAAUGGCCC